ACGACCUUACUUGAACAGGAUCUGUUCUAUAGGCUCGUACCGUUGCAUCCUUUACCAAUAAGGAGGCAAGCACUUCAGUCUGGUUGAUGUAUUCUGACCUCUGGGCCAGAGCGUGAUUAACGGCCAGGAUUACCCUGAUGGGGCAAUCUGAUGGCUGUAGAGGAUCGUUCCUGCCUGGCUCUCACGCCUGUGCAGGGUGGCCCAGAGGUUGUCUGACAGACU
rfam:Triticum urartu cultivar G1812 contig848348, whole genome shotgun sequence.